AGUGAACGCUGGCGGUAGGCCUAACACAUGCAAGUCGAACGGCAGCACAGUAAGAGCUUGCUCUUACGGGUGGCGAGUGGCGGACGGGUGAGGAAUACAUCGGAAUCUACUUUUUCGUGGGGGAUAACGUAGGGAAACUUACGCUAAUACCGCAUACGACCUACGGUUGAAAGCAGGGGAUCUUCGGACCUUGCGCGAUUGAAUGAGCCGAUGUCGGAUUAGCUAGUUGGCGGGGUAAAGGCCCACCAAGGCGACGAUCCGUAGCUGGUCUGAGAGGAUGAUCAGCCACACUGGAACUGAGACACGGUCCAGACUCCUACGGGAGGCAGCAGUGGGGAAUAUUGGACAAUGGGCGCAAGCCUGAUCCAGCCAUACCGCGUGGGUGAAGAAGGCAUUCGGGUUGUAAAGCCCUUUUGUUGGGAAAGAAAAGCAGCAGGUUAAUACCCCGCUGUUCUGACGGUACCCAAAGAAUAAGCACCGGCUAACUUCGUG
rnacentral:rRNA from 1 species